GACGAACGCUGGCGGCGUGCUUAACACAUGCAAGUCGUACGGUAAGGCCCUUUCGGGGGUACACGAGUGGCGAACGGGUGCGUAACACGUGAGUAACCUGCCCACAACUUUGGGAUAACGCUAGGAAACUGGUGCUAAUACUGGAUAUGUGCUCCUGCUGCAUGGUGGGGGUUGGAAAGCUCCGGCGGUUGUGGAUGGACUCGCGGCCUAUCAGCUUGUUGGUGGGGUAGUGGCCUACCAAGGCGGCGACGGGUAGCCGGCCUGAGAGGGUGACCGGCCACAUUGGGACUGAGAUACGGCCCAGACUCCUACGGGAGGCAGCAGUGGGGAAUAUUGCACAAUGGGCGCAAGCCUGAUGCAGCAACGCCGCGUGCGGGAUGACGGCCUUCGGGUUGUAAACCGCUUUCAGCAGGGACGAAGCUUUUUGGGACGGUGCCUGCAGAAGAAGCACCGGCUAACUACGU
rnacentral:rRNA from 1 species